rnacentral:tRNA from 1 species
AUUCUUGUGGUGUAAAAAUGGCACGUUAGAUUUUCAUUCUAAAAGAGUAAAUUGAUUUAUCAAGAAUA